rnacentral:rRNA from 1 species
CCCUUAGAUGUUCUGGGCCGCACACGCGCUACACUGAAGGAGGCAGCGUGUACUCCUGGAUCGAAAGAUUUGGGUAACCCGCGAAUCUCCUUCGUGCUAGGGAUUGAGGUUUGCAAUUAUCCUUCAUGAACGAGGAAUUCCCAGUAAGUGCAAGUCAUAAGCUUGCGCUGACUACGUCCCUGCCCUUUGUACACACCGCCCGUCGCACCUACCGAUUGAAUGGUCCGGUGAAAUUCUCGGACGCGGACUUGCGAUGUUAAUUCGGAGCUUGACUGUGAAAGUUAAUUAAACCUUACCAUUUAGAGGAAGGUGAAGUCGUAACA